ACCAGCGAAACAGAGCAGGAUUUACAAGCCUGUUUUGACCUCACUGAUUGGAGUGUUUUUGAAGCUGCUACCACCGAUCUGGAUGAACUCACAGAGACUGUGACAUCCUAUAUUAGUUUUUGUGAGGAUAUAUGCAUUCCUAACAGGACUUAUUUAACAUUCAACAAUGAUAAGCCAUGGUUUACAACAAAACUCAGACAUCUUCGUCAGGCCAAAGAGGAUGUCUACAGAAAUGAGGACAGAGUCUUGUACAAUCAGGCCAGGAACACACUGAACAAAGAGAUUAGAGCGGCUAAAAAGACCUACGCUAACACGUUGGAAGACCAGUUUACUUCCAAUGACUCAACUUCAGUGUGGAGAGAAUUGAGAGCCAUCACUAACUAUAAGACACCAUCCCCCUGCACUGAGGCUAAUCAACGAUUUGCUAACGACCUGAAUGAGUUUUAUUGUAGAUUUGAAACCCCCAACACCCAUUCUGAUCAUCUCUCUACACAACCGUUAACACCUCCUGCAAUCCCCCUCUCCACACCUCCUGCUCUUCAAAUUAGUGAAAACGAUGUGCGCCAGGUCUUCAGGAAGAACAAAAGAAGAAAAGCACCAGGCCCAGAUGGUGUUACACCAGCCUGUCUGAGAACCUGUGCUGACCAAUUGGCCCCCAUCUUUUCACAGAUCUUCAACAGAUCUCUGGAGUUGUGUGAAGUGCCGUCCUGCUUCAAACGCUCCACCAUCAUCCCCGUUCCAAAGAAACCCAAGAUAACAGGACUUAACGACUACAGACCUGUGGCUCUAACGUCUGUCGUCAUGAAGUCAUUUGAAAAACUGGUUCUGGCUUAUCUGAAGGACAUCACUGGACCCUUACUGGACCCCCUGCAGUUUGCUUACCGAGCAAACAGGUCCGUGGAUGAUGCAAUCAACAUGGGAUUGCACUUCAUCCUGCAACAUCUGGACAAAGCAGGGACUUGUUUGUGGACUUUAGUUCGGCUUUCAACACCAUCAUCCCAACAGACCUCUAGACCACACUGA
ensembl:lncRNA